UUGAAAGGGAAACGAUUGAAGUAGUGUANGAGAGAAAUAGUUUUGAAUGUGAUUUGUGGGGUAUGAGAUUAAUUGUUUGAAUAUGUGUAUUUUUUUGGUGUAUUUUUGUAUGGUAGGUAAANGUAGGUUUAAGUUGGAAUAAAAUAAAAGGAGGAAUGUAAGUUGGUUGGUGGAAUUGUAAUAGUUUUGGUAAAUGUGGUGAUUAGGAUUGAGGAUUGAAGAAUACUUUANAGGUAUUGUUGAGUUGAAAGUUAUUAGGUGUGAAAGUGUGANGGGUAUUUAAGUUGAAGUGAAUAGGUAGAGUGUGAUAAAANNCGUUAAGGAUGUUGACGUA
rnacentral:rRNA from 1 species